rnacentral:lncRNA from 1 species
UGCCGCCUCCGCCCCACGCUCCCCCUGCCGCCGCCUCCUCGCCCUCCUCCCUCCUGUCUUUCGUCCACUCUUCUCUCAGCGGGCGCUCCACGGCCCUGCUCUGGGCUCGCCUGAGUGCUGGGCUCUGCAGACGCAGGGAUGGGCCAGGCGAGCCCCUCACCACGGAGGUAGCAGGUCCAGAGGAAGCAGCAGAGGCUUCCUGGAGGAGGAUUUGUACCCCUAGGAGGACUAUGUCUUCCUCAUCUUUGUCUUCAGAGGAUAAAUACAAGGCCUGACACAUAACAAGCAUGAGGUAAGUUAUAUUUACUUGAAAAAGUUAAAAGAAAACCACAUAAAAUAACAACAAUAGCCAAUAUUUAUUGUAUACUUGCUGGGGGUCAGGCACCAUUCUAAAUGUUUUAAAUUCUUUUUCCUCUUUGAUCCUUACGACAUCUCCAUCAGGCAGGUUUUGUGUUUAUCCCAUUUUACAGAUGAGUAAGCUAAGCAGCAGAGAGGUCACACAGCUAGUAAGUGACUGAGCCAGCAUGCGAACCCAGAGGGUGGAAGUGGGAAUUUUUCAGGGCACAUAAACUGGUUAAUUUCUGUGAGGGGCAAAGGGAGAAAGCUCAGUCCUUGAAACACACAAGACACCAAAUGGACACUGAGGUCCUGGUAAAGCUUCGGCCACCCAGGUGACUUUGGUUCUCCCCUACCCUGCCUCUCCAUCCUGGGCUGACUCAAGCUUACAGACCCUGCCUACCCUGAGUUUCCAAAGAAAACUCCCAAACCCAACCCAAAAUGUAAUGAAUUCCCCAUGAGACAGAUGUAGGUGAUAUUUCACCUGCUGUCAAUAUGGCACCCUGCCACUCCCAAGUCCCAUGUUGGUCUCCAGAGCCAUGGGAGCCCCAGCAGCCUACUCUUUCACACUGCCCCCCAGGAACUGGAGCUUCAGAACUUUGCCAGGCUGUGACCUCUGCUAGGCCAUGCCCUCUGCCUAGAACACUCCCGCAUGGGUUGGCUUCUGUUUACCGUUUGGGCCUCACCUCAAAUGCCUCCUCCUCUGGGAAGACUUCUCGCCUCCUCCACAGAGAUCCUCCCUGCUCCUCUGGGCCCCCACGGCACUGUGUGUCCCAAUCUCCCUGAUCACACUGGCCUGUCGUUGUUGGCUCCUCCAUCCAAUGGGAGCUCCUCCAGUAACAAACAGCAUCAUCCUGGUUCUCACUCUGUCCCCAGUGAUGAUGCCUCUCCAGUACCAGGGCCAGAGGACCUUCUGUGUUCACCUCGCCCAGCCUGCUCUGGCAGGCCUUAUGCUAGGUGAGGGACACAGACGAACAAGACUCCACCUUUUCCCUGGAGGAGCUCUGGU